GCGAAACGAGCGUAGCUUCCUUGUCGUGUGGCCUCAGUCCUUCGCCGUCCCUCGCCGUCCUUCGCCAUCGCACGCCACCGCACCCCAUCUCUCGAAAUCUGCAGACAUCUUGAUUUUUCCCACGCUGUCUGUCAGGUCUCCGCCGCCACUCGACGCCAGGGCGCCGGGCCUUGUGGGCUGUGCUGCACCUCGGACGGCUUCGCACCAGCCAGCGCCCUCUCUCUCCUGCAGCACUCUGAUCUGCACCCCCUGAGGGGCUUCCACUGUCCGCGGGGUGAGAAUGCCCCUGGGAGUGUCACAUGACUGCCGCCCCAUGUGUGUGAGAGGCGUCCUCUGGGAGAGCAUGGAUCCUGAGGUCCCAGGAUUGUCAGCUGACCUCUGUCCUGUGUGCCCAGUGGCCCCAGGUGACGUGUCUUCAAGAAGAGGCUGAGCUGCGGUGCUUGUAAGAGUCAUGUGCUGUUCCUGGGGCUUGGAUGAUGUAGGGGAAGCAAGGUGAAAGUGGUAUCCCGUGGUUCCACGUUCUGUCCUGCUGUGGGGCUGUCCCUCACAUGCUUUCAGUGGCUGUUGCAGAGGAAGAGCCUCCGGAAAUCUGCGUGGGUAAAGUCUCAGCCUUAGAUCCAAGGACAGUCCAAGGAAGUCCUAAGACCAUGGAGUUGGUGAUCUGGGAUCUGGGUUUGCUGAUAUUUCUCACCGUGAAUCUCUUGGUGGUGUUUGUGGGCACGAGAGGGGCAGAGAAUGGAGAGUGAGGCUACCACAUGAAGCGUCACCAGAGCUGCUCCCUGCUGCCUGCUCAGAGCACCCCGGAUCCACUGUUCAAUCUGCACAAGAUUCGGGGUCCAGACAUGGGAGACUUCAGCUGCCUCAGAGGACCGUGGACAGGGAAGGCCAGCCUCGCAUCCCUCUGUCCAUGCCUGGAAUGACUUUAAUAACCAAGAGUUUUAUUUUUGAAUUUGUAGCUGUCGUUCACUUUUUACCCACCCAUUCAAUAAACCUUACAGAAUUGCUCCAUGUGCUUCUUAAAUCAGUGACAACCUGUGAGCCUGCCAGGCUGGCUUUGGAGAAGAGGGAGGAAUCUACACAUGUCCC
rnacentral:lncRNA from 1 species